GCCGAAAUAGCUCGAUUGGGAGAAGCGUUAGACUGAAGAUCUAAAGAUCCCUGGUUCAAUCCCAGGUUUCGGCA
rnacentral:tRNA from 1 species